rnacentral:rRNA from 1 species
GGUUAAGUUAAUAAGGGCGCACGGUGGAUGCCUUGGCACUAGGAGCCGAUGAAGGACGUGACGAACGACGAAAUG